GACAGAGGAUGCAAGCGUUAUCCGGAAUGAUUGGGCGUAAAGCAUCUGUAGGUGGCUUUUCAAGUCCGCCGUCAAAUACCAGGGCUCAACCCUGGACAGGUGGUGGAAACUACCAAGCUGGAGUAUGGUAGGGGUAGAGGGAAUUUCCGGUGGAGCGGUGAAAUGCAUUGAAAUCUGGAAGAACACCAAGGGCGAAAGCACUCUGCUCGGCCGACACUGACAUUGAGAGACGAAAGCUAGGGAAGCAAAUGGG
rnacentral:rRNA from 1 species